ACGUUGCGGUUGAUAAUCGCGGUUAUGAUGGGUGAUUUCGUCCUUGUGCGUAUGGUGACCGAGCCUGAAUGACUUCUGAGGCCACAGAUGGAACGGCCGAUGGGCAGCUUUGUUUACCUUCAAGACCGAGUGGUGCUGUGAGUUUGCUGAAAGCAACAACAGGACAGAAAAUAUGGAAUGUGGGCCUUGGAAGGACCAGCUGAUGAAAAAAUCUACGCCUGUGCUGCACAGUAAGGCUUCUGGCAGACCUGAAAGCAUCGAUAGAUAUGGUGCCUGCCUGUUGGAAUUGCACCAGCUCGCUUCCCUGAAAGGAGCUAGGUGCUGAAGAAGUACUUGACUAGCCUACCCGCAUUGUCAUUGUGACAGUCUGCAUCACCAUUUGGCCUAUUUUGGGAUCCCACAAGACACGCUGCUACCCUGCGUGUUGUACCUUGGUCAAUUGCUGAAGUACUGCAAGCCCCAUUGAAGCCAACUGUCAUCCGCAUCCAAUGGAAGAAACUCAUUGUUCGGGCCAUCAUAACUUAUCUUAAGCUGGAGCUAGAAGCAGGGUAGAAACAGCAUAUAUUCUACAAGAGUUUACCACUGCAUGCCAUCGGGUGGCUACACCCGACAGACUACUGUCUUGAACAGAGAUGGUGUUUUAUUCUAGAAUAUAUUAGUCAGCAGUACUACUCCUGUUUAUAUCCUUGGAAACAAACAAGCGAAGACACCAAACACAACAGAGGAGAAAUUACUUCUACUUACUAAUUGAAUUAAAGAAAUGACAAAUUAAUGGCAAUGAAAGUGGUUGAGAAAACUUGCCAUAGGCGUGCGAUGCUCCAACCAAUGGAGCUACCGCGGCACCGUUUUCCCAUCCACUUUCUUGUGUAUUUAUAUUUUACAACUAGAACUAACUACUACUACUACUAGAACUACAUCAUUUCCCACCUGCGGCAAGUUGUUUUUUCAUCCACUUUCAUUGCCAUUAAUUUGUCAUUUCUUUAUUUCAGUUAGUAAGUACAAGUAAUUUCCCUUAUGUUGUCUUUGGUGACUUUGCUUGUUGGCUUCUCAUGAUAUGAUUAUUAAAAAUCGCGCCCCUCGGUCAA